AGGGCACCACCAGGAGUGGAGCCUGCGGCUUAAUUUGACUCAACACGGGAAAACUCACCCGGCCCGGACACUGGAAGGAUUGACAGAUUGAGAGCUCUUUCUUGAUUCAGUGGGUGGUGGUGCAUGGCCGUUCUUAGUUGGUGGAGUGAUUUGUCUGGUUAAUUCCGAUAACGAACGAGACUCUAGCCUAUUAAAUAGAUCGUUGGCUUACAAACGCCGGCGAGACUUCUUAGAGGGACAGGCGGCGAUUCAGCCGCACGAAACAGAGCAAUAGCAGGUCUGUGAUGCCCUUAGAUGUCCGGGGCCGCACGCGCGCUACACUGAAGUGAUCAGCGUGCAUUUUGAAACCUACUCUGUCAAGAGUGGGGAACCCAAUGAACCUUCUUCGUGAUUGGGAUAGGGGAUUGUAAUUAUUCCCCUUGAACGAGGAAUUCCCAGUAAGCGCGAAUCAUAAGUUUGCGCUGAUUACGUCCCUGCCCUUUGUACACACCGCCCGUCGCUACUACCGAUUGAAUGUUU
rnacentral:rRNA from 1 species